rnacentral:rRNA from 1 species
CGACCGGCGCACGGGUGAGUAACGCGUGUGCAACCUGCCCGGCACAGUGGGAUAAUCCGGAGAAACCCGGUCUAAUACCGCAUGACGCGGGAAGGGCGCAUGCCUUUUCCGCCAAAGGAGGCGACUCCGGUGCCGGCUGGGCACGCGUGACAUUAGCUAGUUGGCGGGGCGACGGCCCACCAAGGCGACGAUGUCUAGGGGUUCUGAGAGGAAGGUCCCCCACACUGGUACUGAGACACGGACCAGACUCCUACGGGAGGCAGCAG